GAUGAACGCUGGCGGCGUGCCUAAUACAUGCAAGUCGAGCGAACGGACGAGAAGCUUGCUUCUCUGAUGUUAGCGGCGGACGGGUGAGUAACACGUGGAUAACCUACCUAUAAGACUGGGAUAACUUCGGGAAACCGGAGCUAAUACCGGAUAAUAUUUUGAACCGCAUGGUUCAAAAGUGAAAGACGGUCUUGCUGUCACUUAUAGAUGGAUCCGCGCUGCAUUAGCUAGUUGGUAAGGUAACGGCUUACCAAGGCAACGAUGCAUAGCCGACCUGAGAGGGUGAUCGGCCACACUGGAACUGAGACACGGUCCAGACUCCUACGGGAGGCAGCAGUAGGGAAUCUUCCGCAAUGGGCGAAAGCCUGACGGAGCAACGCCGCGUGAGUGAUGAAGGUCUUCGGAUCGUAAAACUCUGUUAUUAGGGAAGAACAUAUGUGUGAGUAACUGUGCACAUCUUGACGGUACCUAAUCAGAAAGCCACGGCUAACUACGUGCCAGCAGCCGCGGUAAUACGUAGGUGGCAAGCGUUAUCCGGAAUUAUUGGGCGUAAAGCGCGCGUAGGCGGUUUUUUAAGUCUGAUGUGAAAGCCCACGGCUCAACCGUGGAGGGUCAUUGGAAACUGGAAAACUUGAGUGCAGAAGAGGAAAGUGGAAUUCCAUGUGUAGCGGUGAAAUGCGCAGAGAUAUGGAGGAACACCAGUGGCGAAGGCGACUUUCUGGUCUGUAACUGACGCUGAUGUGCGAAAGCGUGGGGAUCAAACAGGAUUAGAUACCCUGGUAGUCCACGCCGUAAACGAUGAGUGCUAAGUGUUAGGGGGUUUCCGCCCCUUAGUGCUGCAGCUAACGCAUUAAGCACUCCGCCUGGGGAGUACGACCGCAAGGUUGAAACUCAAAGGAAUUGACGGGGACCCGCACAAGCGGUGGAGCAUGUGGUUUAAUUCGAAGCAACGCGAAGAACCUUACCAAAUCUUGACAUCCUUUGACAACUCUAGAGAUAGAGCCUUCCCCUUCGGGGGACAAAGUGACAGGUGGUGCAUGGUUGUCGUCAGCUCGUGUCGUGAGAUGUUGGGUUAAGUCCCGCAACGAGCGCAACCCUUAAGCUUAGUUGCCAUCAUUAAGUUGGGCACUCUAAGUUGACUGCCGGUGACAAACCGGAGGAAGGUGGGGAUGACGUCAAAUCAUCAUGCCCCUUAUGAUUUGGGCUACACACGUGCUACAAUGGACAAUACAAAGGGCAGCGAAACCGCGAGGUCAAGCAAAUCCCAUAAAGUUGUUCUCAGUUCGGAUUGUGGUCUGCAACUCGACUACAUGAAGCUGGAAUCGCUAGUAAUCGUAGAUCAGCAUGCUACGGUGAAUACGUUCCCGGGUCU
rnacentral:rRNA from 1 species